ensembl:lncRNA
CCUUACAGUCAUCUUCGCCCGCUGAUGAAACGAUCCACACCCGUUCCAGCCUGGUACGACACAACUGGGCCUGAUACUGUGAAGAACAAAGCUUCAUUGUUCGCGCCGUGGAAUCCCGCAGCAUGUUCCAGUAAACAGCCCAUUCACCAUAUCCCCGAGCUUUCAGAUGCCGGAGAUCUGUGUGAUCCGUGGCUCAUAUGGACACUAGGUUUUAAGAAAUGGCAGCUGCACAACACAUCCCCUGACAUGGUUACGUCGUUCCGGCUCUAAAGCUGCAGUGUUCGGUUGCUGUGGCUACGCGUCAUAAAAUUGCUUGACAAAGAGGCUGUGUAAGAAGUACUGAGGUAGCUGGAACUACAGCAUGCACAUCACAGUUUUCAUCAACUAUCGACAGAUUGGCUCUUAGUGACAUGAAAUGAGAAGCUGGCUGAGGGACCUUUGGUGAAAAAGAACUGACAGGGUGACAUGGGGGCCAGCUGGACUCAGAGCUGGAGAGAUGAAUUUAAGUGUCAGAAAGUCUCCCUGACCUCAGCCACACCAGAGGUGCUGCUUCAGCCACGGUGGCACAUUCCUCCCAGCAUCUGGCUCUUCUAUCGCUUCUCAACAUUUGCCUGGACCCUGGCCUGGUGCGUGCACUCCGGUCUACUCUUCGGCUCACCCAAAUGCCUCUUUUUACUCAGCUACCUGACCUACUGUCUGUUGGCUUUGUACUCCUUCAUUGCCCUGAUUAACCUGAUCUCAGCCUACAUUAUCAUUAAAGGCUUCUUCAAGAAGGUGGUCAAAGAAAUUCGUCCGGGAGGCAGUCGUGAGAAUUGGGCAUCUCUUCCGUUCCCCGAUUCCCUGGCCAAAUCACUGCGUGCUCAGUGGCUCUUCCAGGUGGUCAGCGCAGCCUUCUCCCUCAUCGUCUCGUUCCUCUACUGGACCAUCCACUUCCCACUCGCCCGGUACCCCCUCAGAGCCUUCAACAUGAACCUGGACUACAUCAACUCCUGCUUAGUAGCGCUGGACAUCCUCCUGUCAUCCACUCCUGUUCAUCUCUGCCACUAUGUCUACCUGAUGGCAGCUUGGAGCCUCUAUGUGAUUUUCGCUCUGAUUAUCUGGCUCUCCAGCAUCACCACCCUGAGCGGCCAGCCCUAUAUCUACAGGGAGCUGGACUUUAUAGGUCGUCCCUUCACGACUGCUUUUUUCGUCCUCUGCUUCUAUGUGCUCUUCAUCCCUGCGUCCCAGUUUAUCCUUUGGAAUGUGCAGCUCCUGAGAGAGAGGAUCCUCGGCGGCCCUUUUGGCAGGUGGUUUGGCCUGAGGAGGGAAGCCUGGUGGUGGAGCUCCGUGGGAGGUUUGCCCCUUCGCCUGGCUCCUGCUGUGGAGUCCAGCUCCUCUGUGUUUGGAAGCAGGCGAGGGGAGAUGUCAAGGAUCCAUUCAAACAUUCAGACCACGGCCACCCAUUCUGUUUAAUUGCCGUUUUGACGCCCGACUGAGCCUGAAACAACCUGAUAUACAUUAAGAAUUUGAUCAAAUUAGCUUUAUGUUUUAAUAAUUAAGCAUAUUGUGUUAUACAUAUACAUGGGUUUUAAUGUUUCUAGCAAUAACCUUAACAACUGUACAAAAACGCUGCAUUAUGUGACAGUCAGUUCUGACCACGAAUGAUGAUUGGCUGACUUUUACAAUAUUCUCCUAUAAUUAUUUACAUCUCUGCCGGUUUGGAAAACAGAAAAUGAUGAGCAAAACACAUUUGAUUGCAAGCUUAACUUUUAUGUAUUUAAAUAUCCACAUAUUUUUUAUGCACUAAAAAGUUUAUUUUGAUUCUAAUUGUGUAUCUGAUAUUUGUGUGAAACCUGACACUAGACACUUUACUUUUAAAGAGAACCCAUAAAUCAUAUUCAUACAGUGAUUUUACUGUUAACACACCUUCAGUGUUUUGUUGUAUUGCCUAUCUUACGUUUGAGAUGUCACAAUGCUUAGUGUAGCCAACAGGGGGAAGCAAAACGUUUCAUAAGAAGAACUUAUGCCAGUGAAUGUCACUUACAGACGUAUCAUAUGCAACGAAUAAUGUACAUAAAUGCCUUACGAAAUAAUACAUACAUCCAAAUUGUUAAAACAACCAUCAUACAUGUCAUAUAUAAGUAACUAAUCAAGUGAAAGCUUCCUUUCACAUAUGGGAC